GUAUCACUGCGGCGUUGGUGACUGCCAACACUGUUUUAUGAUCUACAAAUCCACUCAUCAGGGUACUUAACAUUAUGGGCGGCAGUAAACCGAGCAUGUACUCGGAAACUUAAAGCCUUUUCAUUGUACCCACCUGGCUUAGCCAGGUCAAAAACUGAGGUAAAACGGCGUUGCGGUGAGUUC
rnacentral:other from 1 species